rnacentral:rRNA from 1 species
UACAGAGGUCUCAAGCGUUGUUCGGAUUCAUUGGGCGUAAAGGGCGUGUAGGUGGCGCGCUAAGUCGGGUGUGAAAUUUCGGAGCUUAACUCCGAAACUGCAUUCGAUACUGGCGUGCUUGAGGACUGGAGAGGAGACUGGAAUUCAUGGUGUAGCAGUGAAAUGCGUAGAGAUCAUGAGGAAGACCAGUGGCGAAGGCGGGUCUCUGGACAGUUCCUGACACUGAGGCACGAAGGCCAGGGGAGCAAACGGG